UCGAAACAGAGGAACUGCGAGCGCGAACGACGAUGAUAUUGCAAGAAAAUGAUGGUUUCGGAAUUUGCAUUUGGUUUUAGCUAAUUUAAUGGCUGAAAUUGAGGAUUGGAAUGACUCCACCAUCAAAAUCUCCAGAUUUGUUCAGUUAUUACGGUAUAUGCUUGGUAAUGGUUGCCCGACAGUGAGGCUUUGCGCGCGCCACUCUCUCUUGACGGUUGAAUCAGUCAAGGACAAGCUUUCGCCUCGUAAUUAUCCAGAUAGCAAGCCUCUGCAGGCGCCGCUCUCUUUGAAGUACUUGGCUAGCUCUUGAAGCAGCUUCGACAACUCGCCCCGGGAUUCCAGCCAUGGCUGCUACUUGCAACCCAUAACUCUCGGGGC